GCAAGUCGAACGAGAACGGUACUAGCUUGCUAGUAUGUCAGCUAAGUGGCGGACGGGUGAGUAAUGUAUAGUUAAUCUGCCCUUUAGAGGGGGAUAACAGUUGGAAACGACUGCUAAUACCCCAUACUCCUUUUAUCUUAAUGAUAAUUGGGAAAUGUUUUUUCGCUAAAGGAUGAGACUAUAUGGUAUCAGGUAGUUGGUGGGGUAAGAGCCUACCAAGGCGACGAUCCGUAGCUGGUUUGAGAGGAUGAUC
rnacentral:rRNA from 1 species